rnacentral:Y_RNA from 1 species
GGGUGGUCUGAUGGUAGUGGGUUAUCAGAACUUAUUAACAUUAGUGUCACUAAAGUUGGUAUUCAACCCGCCCACUGCUAAAUUUGACUGGCUUUAA